rnacentral:rRNA from 1 species
CAGCCGCCGCGGUAAUACCAGCUCCGCGAGUGGUCGGGACGAUUAUUGGGCCUAAAGCGUUCGUAGCCGGUCAAGUAAGUCUUUCGUUAAAUCUGACGGCUUAAUCGUCAGACCGCGGAAGAUACUGCUAGACUUGAGGGCGGGAGAGGUUGACGGUAUUCCUGGGGUAGGGGUGAAAUCCUAUAAUCCUAGGAGGACCACCAGUGGCGAAGGCGGUCAACCAGAACGCGCCUGACGGUGAUGGACGAAAGCUGGGGGAGCGAACCGGAUUAGACACCCGGGUAGUCCCAGCUGUAAACGUUGCAGGCUAGGUGUUGGGGCAACUACGAGUUGCUUCAGUGCCGCAGAGAAGUUGUUAAGCCUGCCGCUUGGGAAGUACGGCCGCAAGGCUGAAACUUAAAGGAAUUGGCGGGGGAGCAC